GACAGUUUGGCCGAGUGGUCUGAGGCGCCAGAUUUAGGCUCUGGUCCGAAAGGGCGUUGGUUCAAAUCCCACAGCUGUCA
rnacentral:tRNA from 1 species